UAUUCAGCGUGUCAAGAACAUAAAGAAAUGAUAAAUGCACAAUGGAACAACACACCAAAGAACAAUGGAGGAGAUGAAGAAAAUUUUACUCAAAGGAAUUCCUAGGGAAGCUACAAGCAGCGGGAAGACUCAGAAAGCCUGUUCCUUGUUGGAGAACUCGGAAGGUGGAGGGAGAAACAUGAGGGGAGAGCCUGGAAAUAGCCACGAAUCACCAUGUGGAUAAAGUGCCUUGGACAUUUGGAACAGAGUUUUACAAGAAAAGAUGAGAAGAGCAGCUAUUCUUCUAUGCUGAUAAAAGGUGUAAGAAAUAAACCACGUUAAGAGGCUUAAA